UUGAGCUCCCCGGAAACUUAAGUGAUCUCUCUCAAGUUUGUUUAACAAUCCAUUGAUAUAAAAUGCUGCACAUAAAUAAUACUCGUAACUAACCUGGCUCUAAUUAAUGGAGGAGUAAGUUUCCAAAAGAAAUGUUACGUCGGUAUACGAAGGCUUAGACAUAGAUCAAAAAAUCUACAGACAUGUUUAUUUUUCCCAAAAUAAAAACUUUAUGUACACUUAUGUAGGUAUUUCGUUGUAUUGUAUACUUUAAUUUUAACACAUUCAUGUGCCGAAAACCCGACUAUCGGGUAAUUUAUGAUUUCGUUCCCAGGCCGGACGUCUCGAUAGUCGAGACCGUGACACUACUGCUUUACAUGA